GAUGAACGCUGGCGGCGUGCCUAAUACAUGCAAGUCGAGCGAACCACUUCGGUGGUGAGCGGCGAACGGGUGAGUAACACGUAGGUGAUCUGCCCAUCAGACGGGGACAACGAUUGGAAACGAUCGCUAAUACCGGAUAGGACGAAAGUUUAAAGGUGCUUCUGGCACCGCUGAUGGAUGAGCCUGCGGCGCAUUAGCUAGUUGGUAGGGUAAAGGCCUACCAAGGCGACGAUGCGUAGCCGACCUGAGAGGGUGAACGGCCACACUGGGACUGAGACACGGCCCAGACUCCUACGGGAGGCAGCAGUAGGGAAUCGUCGACAAUGGGCGAAAGCCUGACCGAGCAACGCCGCGUGAAUGAUGAAGGCCUUCGGGUUGUAAAAUUCUGUUAUAAGGGAAGAACGACUUUAGUAGGAAAUGGCUAGAGUGUGACGGUACCUUAUGAGAAAGCCACGGCUAACUACGUGCCAGCAGCCGCGGUAA
rnacentral:rRNA from 1 species